GUUGAACGCUGGCGGCAUGCUUUACACAUGCAAGUCGGACGGCAGCGGGGUAGUGCUUGCACUACUGCCGGCGAGUGGCGAACGGGUGAGGAAUAUAUUGGAACGUACCGAGUAAUGGGGGAUAACCAAUCGAAAGAUUGGCUAAUACCGCAUACGCUCUGAGGAGGAAAGCAGGGGACCUUCGGGCCUUGCGUUAUUCGAGCGGGCAAUAUCUUAGUAGCGAGUUGGUGGGGUAAGGGCCUACCAAGGCGACGAUCAGUAGCGGGUCUGAGAGGAUGAUCCGCUAGACUGGCAGUGAGGAACGGCCGCGACUCCCACGCGGGGACGCAGUGGGGACUCUUAGACAAUGGGGGAAAGCCUGAUCCAGCCCUGCCGCGUGUCUGCAGAAGGCCUUCGGGUUGUAAAGGAAUUUUGUUAGGGAAGAAAAAGGAGCGGUUAAUCCCCGAUUCUGAUGACGGUACCUAAAGAAUAAGCCCCGGCUAACUACGUG
rnacentral:rRNA from 1 species